AGAGUUUGAUCAUGGCUCAGAUUGAACGCUGGCGGCAGGCCUAACACAUGCAAGUCGAGCGGAUGAGAAGAGCUUGCUCUUCGAUUCAGCGGCGGACGGGUGAGUAAUGCCUAGGAAUCUGCCUGGUAGUGGGGGACAACGUUUCGAAAGGAACGCUAAUACCGCAUACGUCCUACGGGAGAAAGCAGGGGACCUUCGGGCCUUGCGCUAUCAGAUGAGCCUAGGUCGGAUUAGCUAGUUGGUGGGGUAAUGGCUUACCAAGGCGACGAUCGGUAGCUGGUCUGAGAGGAUGAUCAGUCACACUGGGACUGAGACACGGUCCAGACUCCUACGGGAGGCAGCAGUGGGGAAUUUUGGACAAUGGGGGGAAGCCUGAUCCAGCAAUGCCGCGUGAGUGAAGAAGGCCUUCGGGUUGUAAAGCUCUUUUGUUAGGGAAGAAAAGUCGAGCGCUAAUACCGCUCGAUGCUGACGGUACCUAAAGAAUAAGCACCGGCUAACUACGUGCCAGCAGCCGCGGUAAUACGUAGGGUGCAAGCGUUAAUCGGAAUUAUUGGGCGUAAAGGGUGCGUAGGCGGAUACGCAAGCUUAAUGUGAAAGCCCUGGGCUUAACCCAGGAAUGGCAUUAAGAACUGUGUGUCUAGAGUUCGGUAGAGGGGGGUAGAAUUCCAUGUGUAGCAGUGAAAUGCGUAGAUAUAUGGAGGAAUACCAAUGGCGAAGGCAGCCUCCUGGGCCACUACUGACGCUGAGGCACGAAAGCGUGGGGAGCAAACAGGAUUAGAUACCCUGGUAGUCCACGCCCUAAACGAUGUCGACUAGUUGUUGGGGUUAAAUACCUUAGUAACGAAGCUAACGCGUGAAGUCGACCGCCUGGGGAGUACGGCCGCAAGGUUAAAACUCAAAGGAAUUGACGGGGACCUGCACAAGCGGUGGAUGAUGUGGAUUAAUUCGAUGCAACGCGAAGAACCUUACCUACCCUUGACAUGUACGGAAGCUUGAAGAGAUUCGAGCGUGCCCGAAAGGGAACCGUAACACAGGUGCUGCAUGGCUGUCGUCAGCUCGUGUCGUGAGAUGUUGGGUUAAGUCCCGCAACGAGCGCAACCCUUGUUAUCAGUUGCUACGUAAAAGAGCACUUUGAUGAGACUGCCGGUGACAAAUCGGAGGAAGGUGGGGACGACGUCAAGUCCUCAUGGCCCUUAUGGGUAGGGCUUCACACGUCAUACAAUGGUCGGUACAGAGGGUCGCCAACCCGCGAGGGGGAGCUAAUCUCACAAAGCCGAUCGUAGUCCGGAUUGCAGUCUGAAACUCGACUGCAUGAAGUCGGAAUCGCUAGUAAUCGCGGAUCAGAAUGCCGCGGUGAAUACGUUCCCAGGUCUUGUACACACCGCCCGUCACACCAUGGGAGUUUGUUGCACCAGAAGCAGGUAGCUUAACCUUCGGGAGGUCCGUAG
rnacentral:rRNA from 1 species